CUCAUCCGACCUCAUUUUGGGGCAUUUCCUUCGGAUGUGGCCCUCCUCCUUACAGUAAAGCAUAUCAGUUUUCUAUCUACUGAUCUCGCUGGUCCCUGUGUCCCACUUUUCUGUGGUUCACCGUUCAUGUUCGCCCCCGGGUUGCUACUCCCCUUUCUUGUCCUUAGCGCUAACAGCUCGCCUUGCAUCUGUUGCAUUACUUUCAUCAGUUGUUGCAAUAUUGGGAGUGUUCCCUCUCCUCAUGCUUUUCCUUUCCACUCCUGCUUGCUGCUAAUGCCUGCAGCUGCUUCUCCUUCUCUUCAGCGAUCAUAUUCACCACCCGGCUCCCCUGUGCCAUCACUUCCGCUGCCUUGGUGUGUAGCCUCACUGCGGUCAGAAAUUCAUCGCACGUCUUUGGUUGCAUCACUCACACCUUCUCCAUUAGGGUUUCAGUCCGUCAAAUAAGUAUUCUAGCUUUUUUGCCUCUGCCAUUUGCGGAUUCACUAACCAUCAUAGGUUCAUAACUUCGUAAAAGUACUCUACCCUCGGCUCGUUGUUACUCUGUCGACUCUUCCGCAGCUUCGACGCCUGGUGUCUGGGAUACCCCUGUUUUAGUAAUUCAUUCAGAAACACUGUCUGACGGAGCCACAGUGGCCGCCGCUGCCCCCGCCCGCACUGCUACCGUAUCCGUCCAACCUACUGGUGGUGUUAUGCAUUGAAACUACUUUCGCACCGGAUUGUCCAUAAACAUCCCAAAAUUCGCGCUUUUCUCCUAUUCAAUUAUAGUCUGCCGUUGUCUAACAACGUUCCAUCCAAUCCGCCGCAUCCUCCUCACUUUCCCCAGAAAAAGUCCAAGGAGUUUUGAAUAUGAUGAAACCGGCCAUUCUAACUGUCUGUGUUACCUGCGCCCCGGUCCCGUUCCCACCCCACUUGGAUCCCUUGCCUCAUCGCUGUCUGCAGUUUAGUACCCUUGAAUGCUUUUUCUGAUACCAGACCGACUUUCUUGGAGAAUUUCAUAAGAAAAUGCCUAGACCGUGCGGAGUGUUGUGGAUCAUGGGUUUUUUACUGCUUCCAAGAUCAGUGUUGUGUAUUUCUUCGUAAAUAUGAAGAUGCAAAGAAAGGAAAAACCACUAUGUAACAACAAAUUUCAAAUAAAACCUUUUAUGGUCGUCUCCCAUCAUUGAGAUCAUCAAAUACUAGACUUUAACAAAAUGCUGCAUCUUCUCUCUCGUUGCUUUCUGUACACCAACUGCUGUCGGAAAAAAAUGAGGACAUGUCCCACAACAACUCAACAUGAUAGUUUAAGGGACACUGUGACUGUCUUGGGAAGCGUCAAUUGAAAACCAAAAUAUCUAUGAUAUAAUAAUACUGGCUCACACGUGUAAAAGCCAUUCAAAUAUCCCUUGCUGUGUUCAACAGGUAUCUUGGACUGGUAUGGGUUCGAGUCAUCCCAACAUGGCAACAGUUUGGAGCAGCUUUGUAUUAGUUAUGCAAAUGAAUAGUUGCAGUACUAUUUCACUAGCUAAUGAAGGUUCCAGGAGAAUGGUGUCCUGCUACCCAUAGUGUCGUACACAAACUGCUGUAGGGAAGCAGGGGGGACAAGUCCCACGUAGCAACUCAAACUGCAGGUUGAACCAAUCAUCAGAAAUGCGUUUUCAUCAUGAUCUACACCUUGUGUUAUCCGGUUCCAGGAUGACCAGAUGUUUCAGUGGCUGACUUAGUCAAAAAAUCAAAAAUCGAUUCUUCUGGACGGAAAGCAGUAUAGUGAGCAACUGGAUUCGGGCUACCGCUUCCUAUUAUUGCAUGAACGUUUCCAAGUGAAAGAAAUCCAGACCCUGACAGAGCCAGAGGAAUGGCUUUUCGUUCCAGGCAAAUGAAAUCCGGCUAACAAGGCUACUCGGUCAAAUAUUGGAGAAGGGAGUCUUUCUCAACGCUGGCUAGGAGGUUUCUGUUUCAGCCAGAAUCCUUAUGGCCAAAGGAUCUUCCUUGAAUAGCCAUCUCGGAAGAGAUGCGUAACUGCCGAACCUAUUCAGCCCACUUCUUUACUGGCGUUUCUGACUGGUCAGACAUUCCAUUGUUUCAGUCCAACAUUCACGAAUUCCUUCAAAUGAAAGGUUUCGCACAUCGGUUAUAGGACCAGACAGUCUAUAACGCCUUGGCGGCCGGAUGUCCGGCGCAGUGGCCCGGCAAUGCAAAAUUUCCAUACAGCUCUAUUCAUCACCCGCUCACGGAACGAUUAAUUACUGUGCCACACGAGAACACACAUCAUGCUGCUACAAACCUCUUGUUCGUGAAUAUUAAUCAAAAAUUUUGGUUUAUGAUAGGGAACGACACAGUAAAGAAGAUACGACGAAGCUGUCUAGUGUGUAUUCGAGAAAGAGCGCCGUUCCCACAAGUCAACUCAUGAGAAACUUACCAACCUAUCGCUUAGACUCGUACUCGCCGCCGUUCUCUCACGUCGCGGUGGAGUUCUUCUGGCCGUUGGAAACUAGCACAGGAAGGAACAGAAUUUUCAAGCGAUAAGGAAUCGUAUUCUCUUGUCUGGUGACGAAAAUAAUUACCCUGACCUCAUAGUCUUCGUCAGUCCGAUGAGAAGUUACACAAAGAAUAGCCAAUCCGUUAUUAGGCAUAGUCCAUAAAUCGCAUGUAAGGCUAAUUUUACUUGAAACCGACUAAUAUUUUUUUUGCUGUCAAAUAUUUCGCUUUGAAGUGAGUAUAACUAAAAAAACUCAGGCAAUUAGUCAAUGAGCUGAAAAUAAAAUUGGAAUAUUAGUGGAUUGACUUAUGUACAGCUAACAAACAUUUUGCGCAAAAGAAGAGGUGAUAUAAUGGGAUUUGAGGAGGAAUUGAAAUCUUCGCUGUCAUACUUUAUGGAACCCCCAAGAGACUUAAGUGAACGUGAGAAUAGCUGAUGUUAAUUCCCUUUAUGAAUUCAUUAAUUUUUGUCUUUCAGACAUGCGUGAAAACCUAAUUGAACUGGAAGAGAUUCUUAUACUGUAUCCACGUCAGAAAUUGGAUCAAAAAGGCGUUUUAACCCGCGCGAGAUAGACCUAGCUCAAGAUUUUUUAAAUUACUUAGAUUAAUAGUGCGAGGUAUAUUUGUUUGCAAAAAGAUAAAACACUAGUCUUCAUCUUUCUGAUUUUCAUUUUAUAAAAAUGUUUGGGAUCUGUAUUUAAAUGCAUCGUUUUUAAAUUGGAUCACCCUAAAAUAUGUCGCAUGGCCUGUCCCUACCCGAGGCGUGGGCUUAGGAUAUGGGGGUGACAAAGGGGAGGAAAUUCUUUGUUCUAGAAUCCUCCCCUUUGUCAUGACAAAAAGGCCAUGGGAAAAGUGCCAUCACACCAUCUAGCGGUCAAUUUUGGAACUAUACAUAAAAAUCUUUCAAAUGCCGUAAUCGGAUAAACAUCAACAACAUAGAAAAGUCUUGUUUUGACGUAUCUUGUCAUCUUCUUUAAGUUAAGUUUCACUGUUAGUGAGUGAUUUCUGUUUGUGCUUCAGCUUUUAAUACAUCAUUACAACAAAGAAAAACCUUUACGUAUAAAGUUUUAUUGCAGUAUUACUUAAAGUAAAAUGGUUUUGGAAAUAAGUCAGAAGCGAUUGCUGAAGUGUUUAAGUAUGUUAGCAUGUUUAUAGGUAUUUUGCAAGGAGAAUUCGCAUAAUAUUAAUUAUAAUUUAU